AUCCAGCUGACGAGUCCUAAAUACGACGGGACGCGCGUCUUGAAU
rfam:Schistosoma margrebowiei strain Zambia genome assembly, scaffold: SMRZ_scaffold0001848